rnacentral:lncRNA from 1 species
CCCAACGUUGUUCCUCAAGUUUUUUUUGCCUGGUCUGUAUCAAAAGACAGAAUCUUGAUGACUAAGACAUUUUCUUUGGACCCAGGAGAUGAAUAUAUGCCUGAGAAGAAGAACUAGUGUGGAACUGUCAGCCAGGUUUUUGAUGAGUGCUCAGACUGCUUCCUGAUCCAGCACCACAUUUACUAUAGUGGACAGAUGCUCUAGUCUCUGAUGAGGAGUUGCUAGCUGUUAGGAAGAACCUGGAAUGGGCUCCACUGCAUGAGGUUUGAAGUCUCCAGAGCAGCAAAGAGAGUGGGGAGUAGAACUCAUCAUCUUUAGGUCACUCAGCAUCGA